rnacentral:lncRNA from 1 species
UAGGAAACAGUGAACACAGGAAGAUGUGUACAGCUCUGGCUUAGAACAGGACCUGAGUCACAGUGAUGAAUGUUUCCAGUGACAGAAAGCUCCUGCCUACAUCUGUCUUAAGCUUUCUUUGUUGUACCUGGAGUCUGAGACCUGUGACUAUCCUGAGCAUUACAGUUCUUUCCUUUUUCCUGAGCUGCUGAUAAUGGCAGCAGACACUAACACAAAAGAAUGCUCUGACUACCA